UGUUUUGAAUUAAGGUUUAAGAAACCCAUACAGGGUCCUAUUUUAAUGAUCUGAAACGCAAGUAUCAAGCGGCAAACGCAAGUAGCUUUGUGGGGGGGAUCUCUGGCGCUGUUGCUAUGAUACCGGCGGGAUGAAUGACUCUUGUAGCCGACGCGAAUCUUAAAUGGGUUGGUCUGACGAAGCUACAUUACACACAGGUGUGGUUUGGGCGUAAUGUGCAAUAAACCAAUUCGAGUGUUAUUUCACAUUCCCUUUAAAAGCAGGCGUGCUUGUUCCAUGGUGGAUUGCUAUAGUAAUGGUGGACUUGCUAGGCGCACUUAAU